rnacentral:lncRNA from 1 species
AUGGGAUUUCAUGGCGGUGGAGGUGGAUUUUUUUUAACAAAUGGCCUUACCAUCUGCUGGCGACUUUCCCAUAUUUCCCAUUAUGACUUCUGCCUUUCUACCAGGGAGCGAAACAGGGUCUCAGUAAUUGCCUCACGUCUUUGGAUUGGCUCCCAAUCCAGUGGAAAAGCACCCCAGGCGAAAGGUCUCCGCUUCCUUGGGACAUUAAUCCCGAGGGCUGACAGCCCUUCUUCAGCCCUGUUCCCUCCACCUCCACCAUCAUCACCACCUCCACCUCCACCUCCACCUCCACCGCUUUUAUUUCAGAGCCCACCUGAAGUUUUCCUGACCCAGCUGGAUGCCUCCCAGUAUCCAGACAAAGAACAGAUGCCCCCCUCCUUCAUCCUGCCUUUGGUGGACACGGAGUGGUUCCAGAAGAUGUUCCCUGAGGGCUUUCCACCUGAGACGACCCUCCAGCAAUUCCUGGCCAUGCUUCUGGGCAACAUAGUCACUGCUGACUUCAACACAAAGACAGAGUUACUUGGUGCUGUUUUGUCCUUGAAGGAGCAACUGAAGGAUCGCAUGAGGCAGACGGUCUACAAGACCCUGCUUCAUGUUCUGAACAUGAAGGAAGGGAGCCCAUCCAUGCAGGUGAGGGAGGCGCCCGCUGGUUUCCUUCAGCCCUUUCAGGGUGGGCCUCCACUUGUUCCCGGCUCUCCAGGUAAUCAUUUCAAGCCUCUUCUCUAGGGGCGCCUGUGUGGAGCGGUGGGCGGCUCAGAUCAGACGGACUGGGGCUUCUACUUCUUUGACAGCAAAUGCAUACACAUCGGUUCGGCCUGGAUAACCUAAGCUGAUAGAGAGGGGUUUGUUGCCGCUGUAUUUCAAGCCAUUUCCAGGCUGGGCAGAAAGGCUGAUUUCCUCCCUUCUCUCCACUGCUGGGUGCUACAGUAUGUGGUGGGCUGAAGUAAAUUAAUGGAGGCGAAACCUGACUUCUGAGGCCACCGCUUCCUGCUGUCUAGUCGCACCCUCCCUUCCCUGACCAUUGGCUAAAGCUUCUUCUGCUGUUGAGCAAUUGCUCCCAGAAAGAGCAGAGGCCUUGUCUACUGGGAACUUGUGGAAGUAAUGCUGAGGUCCAAAGGAAAUUAAAAGGUUGUUAUUGGUGGUGGUGGUGGAGGAGAGUACCCAUGCGGCUUGUGGAUUUCAGCCUUUUAAGGCUCAGAGUCAUGACCUGAGCCCACUUCCUCCUUUGUAAAGGAAACACACAACCACACUUCUUUCUAAGAAAACCAGCAAGCUUAUGCUCGUUAGAGAAAGACCCUUGGGAUAGGAAGGAUGACCAAAGUUCUAGUUCUCCCUAACCCGGUUGGAGAGGUCAGGGGCUGCGCUUGCCCCUUUCCUCUCUAGAGAACAAAGGUAAGGUGUGAGAAUGAAGGAUGUGACAUCGGCAAUAGCUGCCUAAGCCUGAAAGAAGGUCAGAGCAGGUAAAAGACAGGCCAGGAAACCCGAGGAGACCCCCCUCUCUCUCCUUCCCCCUGAGGGUCAGUGGCAUGGUGUCCAGGCCCUUCCAAUAGGUGUGGAAGGGAGUUGGCUGCAAACAACUCAGAGGCCCUUCUCGAAAUCAGGUUGCCUCCUUUUGUGGUCAAAAUGUGAAGCUACAGCACUGCCCCCCCCAUAAAACAAGAAGUCUAGCAGAGGCUGCUUUUCUUGCAGCUCAGAGGCCUCCAUGGCUGUGGGUGUCGUGUGGAAG